UACAGAGGGUGCGAGCGUUGUUCGGAAUUAUUGGGCGUAAAGGGCGCGUAGGCGGUGCGGUAAGUCACCUGUGAAAUCUCCUGGCUCAACUGGGAGCUUGCAGGCGAAACUGCCGUGCUGGAGUGUGGGAGAGGUGCGUGGAAUUCCUGGUGUAGCGGUGAAAUGCGUAGAUAUCAGGAGGAACACCUGUGGCGAAAGCGGCUUCCUGGUCCAGCACCGACGUCAGGCACGAAAGCGUGGGGAGCAAACAGG
rnacentral:rRNA from 1 species